AAAUUGAAGAGUUUGAUCAUGGCUCAGAUUGAACGCUGGCGGCAGGCCUAACACAUGCAAGUCGAACGGUAACAGGAAGCAGCUUGCUGCUUCGCUGACGAGUGGCGGACGGGUGAGUAAUGUCUGGGAAACUGCCUGAUGGAGGGGGAUAACUACUGGAAACGGUAGCUAAUACCGCAUAAUGUCGCAAGACCAAAGAGGGGGACCUUCGGGCCUCUUGCCAUCGGAUGUGCCCAGAUGGGAUUAGCUUGUUGGUGGGGUAACGGCUCACCAAGGCGACGAUCCCUAGCUGGUCUGAGAGGAUGACCAGCCACACUGGAACUGAGACACGGUCCAGACUCCUACGGGAGGCAGCAGUGGGGAAUAUUGCACAAUGGGCGCAAGCCUGAUGCAGCCAUGCC
rnacentral:rRNA from 1 species